rnacentral:lncRNA from 1 species
UGUGGAAUGCGGAGUUCAGUUCCUUCCCAAAGCCCUAUCCGCCCUCUGAGUCCUGUCCCCGCCCACAACAGUCCACACCUGGAGGGCGUCCAGGUCCGCGCUGAUCACGUCAUCGAUCUCCCUGCAAAUUACGGAAGAAAGGAAGCGUUCAGGCGGGGGUCUCAGCAGAGGACGUGGGUACAGUCAAAGGAAAGUGGCGUUUUGGGGAAAGGGGGGGAAUACCCGGGUAGGGCGGGGCUGGGGAUGCAGAGGCGGGAAUUUGCGAUCCCUGGGCGGGGUUUGGUGCCAGGGAUUCUAUGAUUCUAGAUUGAGGUUCCUGGGUGGGGGUCAGGGUUCCCCCUGGUAAGGCUUGGCGAGGGGGGCACCGGCUCACACUGCGGUGUGGCUGCGCUCCGAGAAGAUGCGCAGCGUGAAGUCGGCUUCAUCGCCCACGCGCGAGGCGCUGGGCACCACCAGGUAGUGGCCGGGCGGCAGGCGGCAGCGUCGGCUCACGUCGCGGCGGGCACAGAAAACCGAGCGGUCGGCGCGCAGCAGUCCCGCAUCCUCUUUGAACCACCAGUACACUCCUGCCCUUAAGUCUCUGUGACCCUCUGCUCCUGCAGACCCUCUGCUUGACCUUGGCCUCACCUGGAACACGUGGAAGCCCACAGUGAGGUAAGUGAGGCCCUUGGCCCUCAGACACCGGCGGUUGCGUUGGAUGAGUGACAGUAGGACCGUGCACUUGGGGACU